rnacentral:rRNA from 1 species
GACGAACCGUGCGAACGUUAUUCGGAAUCACUGGGCUUAAAGGGCGCGUAGGCGGGCUCGCAAGUCAGGGGUGAAAGCCCACGGCUCAACCGUGGAAGUGCCUUUGAUACUGUGAGUCUCGAGGGAGGUAGGGGCGUGCGGAACUUCCGGUGGAGCGGUGAAAUGCGUAGAUAUCGGGAGGAACACCGGUGGCGAAGGCGGUUCUCUGGGCCUGUACUGACGCUGAGGAGCGAAAGCGUGGGGAGCUAACAGG